AAUGUUUAAUGGUGAAUUCUUUCAUGGU
rnacentral:piRNA from 1 species